AAAUUGAAGAGUUUGAUCAUGGCUCAGAUUGAACGCUGGCGGCAGGCCUAACACAUGCAAGUCGAACGGUAACAGAAAGAAGCUUGCUUCUUUGCUGACGAGUGGCGGACGGGUGAGUAAUGUCUGGGAAACUGCCUGAUGGAGGGGGAUAACUACUGGAAACGGUAGCUAAUACCGCAUAACGUCGCAAGACCAAAGAGGGGGACCUUCGGGCCUCUUGCCAUCGGAUGUGCCCAGAUGGGAUUAGCU
rnacentral:rRNA from 1 species